GAUGAACGCUGGCGGCGUGCUUAACACAUGCAAGUCGAGCGAGAAGUUUUGAAAAGAUUCUUCGGAUGAAAUUUAAAAUGGAAAGCGGCGGACGGGUGAGUAACGCGUAGGCAACCUGCCCCAUACAAAGGGAUAGCAUUUGGAAACGAAUAUUAAUACCUUAUGAAACUUAACUAGUGCAUGCUAGGUAGGUCAAAGAUUUAUCGGUAUGGGAUGGGCCUGCGUCUGAUUAGCUAGUUGGUGAGGUAACGGCUCACCAAGGCGACGAUCAGUAGCCGACCUGAGAGGGUGAACGGCCACAUUGGAACUGAGGCACGGUCCAAACUCCUACGGGAGGCAGCAGUGGGGAAUAUUGCGCAAUGGGGGAAACCCUGAUGCAGCAACGCCGCGUGAACGAUGAAGGCCUUUGGGUCGUAAAGUUCUGUUCUAGGUGAUGAAAACUGACAGUAACCUAGGAGAAAGCCCCGGCUAACUCCGUG
rnacentral:rRNA from 1 species